GGCUCAGGAUGAACGCUGGCGGCGUGCCUAAUACAUGCAAGUCGAACGAGAAGCUUGGAUUAUCUAAGGUGGAGAGUGGCGCACGGGUGAGUAACACAUGGCUGACCUGCCCCUCAGAGGGGGACAAGCGGUGGAAACGCCGGCUAAUACCCCAUGCUUGCGUCCGGGUUAGAGGCCGGAUGCAGAAAGGCCGAGGCGCUGAGGGAGGGGGCUGUGGACCAUCAGCUAGUUGGUAGGGUAACGGCCUACCAAGGCGAGGACGGAUAGGGGGCCUGAGAGGGUGACCCCCCACACGGGCACUGAGACACGGGCCCGACUCCUACGGGAGGCAGCAGUAAGGGAUAUUGCGACAAUGGGCGAAAGCCUGACGCAGCAACGCCGCGUGGAGGAUGAAGGCCUUCGGGUUGUAAACUCCUUUUCUGUGGGAAGAGGAAGGACGGUACCACAGGAAGAAGUCUCGGCUAACUACGUGCCAGCAGCCGCGGUAAAACGUAGGAGGCGAGCGUUAUCCGGAUUUACUGGGUGUAAAGCGCGUGCAGGCGGUCUGGUAAGUCGAGCGUGAAAGCUCCCGGCUCAACCGGGAGAGGACGUGCGAAACUGCGAGGCUAGAGACAGGUAGAGGCGUACGGAAUUCCGGGUGUAGUGGUGAAAUGCGUAGAUAUCCGGAGGAACACCAGUGGCGAAGGCGGUACGCUGGGCCUGGUCUGACGCUAAGACGCGAAAGCAUGGGGAGCGAACGGGAUUAGAAACCCCGGUAGUCCAUGCCGUAAACGAUGCUAACUAGGUGUUGCGGGUAAAAGACCGGCAGUGCCGGAGUUAACGCGAUAAGUUAGCCA
rnacentral:rRNA from 1 species